rnacentral:tRNA from 1 species
UCCCAGGUGGCUCAGAUGGUAAAGCAUCUGCCCCCAAUGCAGGAGACCCGGGUUCGAUCCCUGGGUUGGGAA